GAGGAAUAUUGGUCAAUGGUCGCAAGACUGAACCAGCCAUGCCGCGUGCAGGAUGAAGGCCCUAUGGGUUGUAAACUGCUUUUAUCUGGGAAUAAACCCCUUUACGUGUAAAGGGCUGAAGGUACCAGAUGAAUAAGGACCGGCUAACUUCGUGCCAGCAGCCGCGGUAAUACGAAGGGUCCAAGCGUUAUCCGGAUUUAUUGGGUUUAAAGGGUGCGCAGGCGGGGCUUUAAGUCAGUGGUGAAAUCCCUUCGCUCAACGAAGGAACUGCCAUUGAUACUGAAGCUCUUGAAUGUAGUUGACGUUAGUGGAAUGUGUCAUGUAGCGGUGAAAUGCUUAGAUAUGACACAGAACACCGAUCGCGAAGGCAGCUAACGAAACUAUUAUUGACGCUCAGGCACGACAGCAUGGGGAGCAAA
rnacentral:rRNA from 1 species